CACCUAAAUUUAGGCUCUAAAAUUCUUUACCAACAAGCUCAUUUGUAGGUUCCCAUACCAACACCAGUCUCACCGCCACCAUAAGGUUGGAAUCUUUCCCUGGCACUUGAGUAGUUGACAUAGUAGAAUUCAGAAACAAUGGCAGUGAAGAAAACAAAAGCAGCACCAGCAGCAAACACUCCCUUCCGAACUGUUUCGCAAGAUAGCUCUUUGUUCGCAAAGAUGUUAUGCCUGUACUUGGUGUGGUAAGCAUUUUCC
rnacentral:lncRNA from 1 species